rnacentral:rRNA from 1 species
UACAGAGGUCCCAAGCGUUGUUCGGAUUCAUUGGGCGUAAAGGGUGCGUAGGCGGCGCGGUAAGUCGGGUGUGAAAUCUCGGAGCUUAACUCCGAAACUGCAUUUGAUACUGCCGUGCUUGAGGACUGGAGAGGAGACUGGAAUUUACGGUGUAGCGGUGAAAUGCGUAGAUAUCGUAAGGAAGACCAGUGGCGAAGGCGGGUCUCUGGACAGUUCCUGACGCUGAGACGCGAAAGCGUGGGGAGCGAACAGG